GUGCCCAGUUAAGAGGGAAGAACAGCCUUUGUCAACUCAGCACAAGUUCAGAGUCCCAAGACGUUUCCCCAGCCUGCAGCUCCACCAUUCCACCUUCAGCCACAGAAAAGCCCUCCAGGCCUACAUCACGGGGAGCACACUCUGGGUUCCAUGGUGCAAGGCCGCCUCUGCCCUCCGCGCCCAGCAGGGAGCCGGCACACAGUGGUACAUGCUGAAUGGACCCACGAAGGAACGGCCAGUGGAGAGAAGUUUCAAGGAGGCAGAUUGUAACUCAAGCCAAGGGAGAGUGUUCUGCCUUUCCUAGUGGACACGCCUGACCAGCUGAUGAUGCUGGAUGCCAGGUCCAGGAAAAUCAGUCCUCUAGCAAGUGCUUCCUCUCACUGGCCAGAACUGCAAACCCACCAUGCUUUCUCUCCUUGCUGUGGCUGCUAGGGAGCUCAGGCUCAAAUUAACUAACAGUGACACUCCCCCUGGCUCCUGAGGUGAUUCUCUUUCCCCUUCCCUCUGGCUUACUUCUGAGCUUUUUCUUCAAUUUCUGUUUAAGUUCUAUGUGUCAGUACGUAUUUUUUUCCAGAAAAAUACACACUGAAUGUCUGUACAGAAUAUGUCUAA